ensembl:snRNA U6 U6 spliceosomal RNA
GUGCUCAAUUUGGUAGCACAUAUACUAAAAUUCGAACAAUAUAGAGAAGAUUAGCACAUCUCUGAACAAGGGAGACAUAGAAAUUUUUGAAACUUUCCAUAUUUUU